rnacentral:rRNA from 1 species
AAAGGUGAAAAGGACCCCGGGAGGGGAGUGAAAGAGAACCUGAAACCUUGUGCUUACAAGCAGUCAAAGCACGUUAACGUGUGAUGACGUACUUUUUGUAGAACGGUCCGGCGAGUUAUAGUAACGAGCAAGCUUAAGGUAUUGAGUACCGGAGGCGAAGCGAGAGCGAGUCUGAAUAGGGCGUAAAGUUCGUUGCCAUAGACCCGAAACCGGGUGACCUAUCCAUGAGCAGGCUGAAGUGAGAGUAAAAUCUCAUGGAGGGCCGAACCGACCCCCGUUGCAAUGGUGGCGGAUGACUUGUGGAUAGCGGAGAAAUUCCAAUCGAACUCGGAGAUAGCUGGUUCUCCCCGAAAUAGCUUUAGGGCUAGCGUUAUGUUAGAUUACCGGAGGUAAAGCACUGAAUGGUGGCGGGGCCGAUAAGGUUACCAAGACCUAUCAAACUCUGAAUGCCGGAUAAUUGAUGCAUAGCAGUCAGACAGCGUGAGAUAAGUUUCGUUGUCAAAAGGGAAACAGCCCAGACCCACAGCUAAGGUCCCAAAUUCAUGCUAAGUGGAAAACGAUGUGGAAUUGCGAAAACAACCAGGAUGUUGGCUUAGAAGCAGCCACUCAUUAAAAGAGUGCGUAAUAGCUCACUGGUCGAGUGACUCUGCGCGGAAAAUAUAACGGGGCUAAGCAUGAAACCGAAGCUUGGGCUUGUCGUAAGACAGGGGUAGGGGAGCGUCGAGUAUGGGGUGAAGUCAGAGCGGAAGCACUGGUGGACUGUACUGGAGUGAGAAUGCCGGAAUGAGUAGCGAGAAUUAUGUGGGAAUCAUAAUGGCCGAAAAUCUAAGGUUUCUUGGGGAAGGUUCGUCCGCCCAAGGUAAGUCGGGAGCUAAGCUCAGGCCGAGAGGCGUAGGCGAUGCACAUACGGUAGAAAUUCCGUAACCACCGAAACUUAAACAGAGGGACACUUCGAAAUAGCGGAACCCGGGCGUUGGUUGACCCGGGCGAAAGGGAGCGAAAUUAGAGUAGCGAAGUCCGCGAUGUUCGGAGGCGAGAAAAGCUCUGAGGUAUGCUAAGGUGCCCGUACCGCAAACCGACACAGGUAGAUGAGGAGAGAAUCCUAAGGCCAACGGGAGAAGGGUUGUUAAGGAACUCGGCAAAUUGACCCCGUAACUUCGGAAGAAGGGGAGCCCCCUACGGGGGGUCGCAGAGAAAUGGCCCAAGCAACUGUUUACCAAAAACACAGGUCUAUGCUAAAUCGAAAGAUGACGUAUAUGGGCUGACGCCUGCCCGGUGCCGGAAGGUUAAGAGGAGAUGUCAGGCAACGAAGCAUUGAAUUUAAGCCCCGGUAAACGGCGGCCGUAACUAUAACGGUCCUAAGGUAGCGAAAUUCCUUGUCAGGUAAGUUCUGACCCGC